rnacentral:lncRNA from 1 species
GGAAAAAGAAGGAAGCUCAACGAUAUCGGAACGAAGUAAGACACAUCUUCACAGCCUUUGACACCUACUAUCGUGGAUUUUUAACUUUGGAAGAUUUCAAAAAAGCAUUUAGGCAGGUGGCUCCCAAAUUACCGGAAAGGACUGUUCUUGAGGUAUUCAGAGUCUCGCUGUGUCACCCAGGCUGGAGUGCAAUGGUGCCAUCUCGACUCAUAGCAACCCCCACCUUCCGCGUUCAAGUGAUCCUCCUGCAUCAGCCUCCUGAGUAGUUAGGACUACAGGUGCUUGCCACCACGCCUGGAUAAUUUUUGUAAUUUUAGUAGAAACAGGGUUUCACCAUGUUGGCCAGGCUGGUCUCAAACUCCUGACCUCAAGUGAUCCACCUGCCUUGGCCUCCCAAAGUGCUGGGAUUACAGGCAUGAGCCACUGUGCCCGGACUCAACCAGAUUGUUUUAACACAGUGUUGCUUUCACCAACUUGAUUCGGACUAAGUUGGUUUUGGCAAAUGGCUUUCAACCAAAUGAUCUAUACCCAAAUUAAGAGGAUUUGGGGGCUUACUGGAUCCAGUGCCGUGCUGGAGCUGACUUAUGCAGGCUCUCAAGACAUUUCUGCCCAUCUUUUCAGUAAUGUCACCUUCAUAGCUUGAAAUC